GUAUUUAAAGACCUUUGCUGUGAAAGAUAGUGAAUAUUGAAGACAUAAAAAUCCUCAUCCUCUGACUGUAUAUAAUUUUCUGACCUACAAAUUGUAGUCAGCCAGUUAUCACUUUUUCAUUUCAUAAACCCCUCUUCCUAGUGGAAAGAGGCCCAGUGCAUUUUAAAAGUAGAGUAGGAACAUGGGAAAUCAAUGACUUGGCAUUCAAAGGUGGACCCUGCUCUCUAGAGUACCAGGCAGUAAUGACUAUAGGGCAGGGCACUGGCAACACCACAAAUUUCUUUUUUAUUUUUUA
rnacentral:lncRNA from 1 species